GCGAGGACCAUCUCGUAAGGCUAAAUACGACCAUGUGACCGAUAGAGUAUAGUACCGUGAGGGAACGGUGAAAAGAACCCCGGGAGGGGAGUGAAAAAGAACCUGAAACCGUAUGCUUACAAGCAGAGAGAGCACAACGAGCAAUCAAGUGUGAUCUUGUACUUUUUGUAGAACGGGCCGGCGAGUUACGUUUUGUUGCGAGGUUAAGCGUUACAGACGCGGAGCCGAAGCGAGAGCGAGUACUAAUAGUGCGUAUAGUAGCGAGACGUAGACCCGAAACCUAGUGAUCUAUCCAUGAGCAGGUUGAAGCAGGAGUAAAAUCUUGUGGAGGACCGAACACACGCCUGUUGAAAUAGUCGGUGAUGACUUGUGGAUAGCGGAGAAAUUCCAAUCGAACUCGGAUAUAGCUGGUUCUCCUCGAAAUAGCUUUAGGGCUAGCCUCGAGCAAAGAUACACGGAGGUAGAGCACUGAAUGUUCUAGGGGCCUUCACCGGUUACCGAAAACUAUCAAACUCCGAAUACCGCAGUAUUAGACUUGGGAGUCAGACUACGAGAGAUAAGUUCCGUGGUCAAAAGGGAAACAGCCCAGACCUACAGCUAAGGUCCCAAAAUGUAGAUUAAGUGGAGAAGGAUGUGGAGCUGCAUAGACAACUAGGAUGUUGGCUUAGAAGCAGCCACUCAUUUAAAGAGUGCGUAAUAGCUCACUAGUCGAGUGACUCUGCGCCGAAGAUAAACGGGGCUAAAAUCUACUACCGAAGCUUAGGAAUUACUUUAAAGUAAUUGGUAGAGGAGCAUCGUAUGCGGGCAGAAGCUGUGCUGUAAGGCAUGGUGGACUGUAUACGAGAGAGAAUGUUGGCAUGAGUAGCGUAAGGCAGGUGAGAAUCCUGUCCGCCGAAAAUCUAAGGUUUCCUGAGGAAGGUUCGUCCACUCAGGGUUAGUCGGGGCCUAAGCCGAGAGCGAAAGCUGUAGGCGAUGGACAACAGGUUGAUAUUCCUGUACCACCGAAAGUCGUUUGAGCGAAGUGGGGACACAGAAGGAUAGGUUGAGCACGCUGUUGGUAAUGCGUGUCCAAGCGUCAAGGGAGGACUGAUAGGCAAAUCCGUCAGUUCAAUUCUGAGGCGUGAUGGGGUGGCCGCAAGGCUGGAAGCAACUGAUUUCACACUGUCAAGAAAAGCCGCUAGCGAGAUCGUAGGUGCCCGUACCGCAAACCGACACAGGUAGAUGAGGAGAGAAUCCUAAGGUGAGCGAGAGAACUAUUGUUAAGGAACUCGGCAAAAUAACCCCGUAACUUCGGGAGAAGGGGUGCUCCGGAAACGGAGCCGCAGUGAAAAGUCCCAGGCGACUGUUUACCAAAAACACAGGUCUCUGCGAAAGCGAAAGCUGAAGUAUAGGGGCUGACGCCUGCCCGGUGCUGGAAGGUUAAGGGGAAGUGUCAGGGCGACCGAAGCACAGAACUUAAGCCCCAGUAAACGGCGGCCGUAACUAUAACGGUCCUAAGGUAGCGAAAUUCCUUGUCGGGUAAGUUCCGACCCGCACGAAAGGCGUAACGAUCUGGGCACUGUCUCGACAAUAGGCUCGGUGAAAUUGUAGUACCGGUAAAGAUGCCGGUUACCCGCAGCAGGACGGAAAGACCCCAUGGAGCUUUACUGUAGCUUGAUAUUGAGUUUCGGCGUUGCAUGUACAGGAUAGGUGGGAGACAGAGAAGUAAGUACGCCAGUAUUUAUGGAGUCAAUGUUGGGAUACCACCCUUGUAACGUUGAAGUUCUAACGGUGUGCCGUGAACCGGCAUCCGGACAGUGUCAGGUGGGCAGUUUGACUGGGGCGGUCGCCUCCUAAAGAGUAACGGAGGCGCCCAAAGGUUCCCUCAGCGCGGCCGGAAAUCGCGCGAAGAGUGUAAAGGCAGAAGGGAGCUUGACUGCGAGACAGACAAGUCGAGCAGGGACGAAAGUCGGGCUUAGUGAUCCGGUGGUACCGAGUGGAAGGGCCAUCGCUCAACGGAUAAAAGCUACCC
rnacentral:rRNA from 1 species